GACGCGAAACCCUAUGGCACAAGCCUCAAACCCACACGCACAAGUAGAUACAGAAUCCAAAGAUCUGAUAAACCCACCUCCUAUGGCACCCCAAACUUAGAGAAGCUGAAACACCAAUGAUCGAAGGAUUUAGAUGAGAAUCCGACAAACACCACAACGAAUAGUUGAUAAGUUAGCCAAGAUUCCUGGUGCAAUUGAUGAAAGCAAAUCCUCACUCUCACUCAAAGCAAUACACGCCAAAGGUAUGAAAGAAAUUCUGAAAAGUUUGAUUAAAAGCU
rnacentral:lncRNA from 1 species